rnacentral:rRNA from 1 species
ACGCUCGACACCUACGGAGGCAGCAGUUGGGAAUAUUGGACAAUGGAGGAAACUCUGAUCCAGUGACGCCGCGUGAAGGAAGAAGGUCUUCGGAUUGUAAACUUAUUUUGUCAGGGAAGAAAAAAUGACUGUACCUGAAGAAAAAGCACCGGCUAACUACGUACCAGCAGCCGCGGUAAUCUGAGCGGGCUGGCAAGGC